ACGGAGGGUGCAAGCGUUGUCCGGAAUCACUGGGCGUAAAGGGCGCGUAGGCGGCCUGGUAAGUAGGGGGUGAAAUCCUGCGGCUUAACCGCAGGGCUGCCUUCUAAACUGUCAGGCUUGAGCACGGUAGAGGCAGAUGGAAUUCCCGGUGUAGCGGUGGAAUGCGUAGAGAUCCGGAAGAACACCGGUGGCGAAGGCGGCCUGCUGGGCUACUGCUGACACUGAUGCGCGACAGCGUGGGGAGCAAACAGGA
rnacentral:rRNA from 1 species